GACGUAGGGGGCCAGCGUUGUUCGGAAUUACUGGGUGUAAAGGGUUCGUAGGCGGUGCGGCAAGUUGGGAGUGAAAUCUCUGGGCUUAACCCAGAGGCUGCUUCCAAAACUGCUGUGCUUGAGUGUGGGAGAGGCGCGUGGAAUUGCAGGUGUAGCGGUGAAAUGCGUAGAUAUCUGCAGGAACACCCGUGGCGAAGGCGGCUCUCUGGGACGGUACUGACGCUGAGACGCGAAAGCGUGGGGAGCGAACAGG
rnacentral:rRNA from 1 species